rnacentral:lncRNA from 1 species
CAAUGACCUUCAUUACCCGCAUCUUGGACAGCCUUGACUGAAGGGCCUACUUUCCCGUAAAGAUUCGUCUGGUCCUUUCUCCAUCUCUGACCAAUCGAUCGACAACGCAUCAUUCUACCACUUGCAUCGUCGACGUCUUCUUUAAGAUAAGGAGUUGGAAAGUAUCAUUGCCCUGUCGGGGAAAGACAUGUUUUAAACUCUUUUCUAAAAUGUAGUGUAAUAGUGAAAACAGAGGAACAAAUCUGUGUGAAGAGAGAGUUCAAAAUUUAGAAUAUAAACUCAACUCAUGUAGUAGUAAAGAUACUGCUAAGGGUUUUCCGUUUCCCACAUAGUGAGUCCUCCGAUUUGCCUAAUACGAUGGGGAAGAAACAUAAACAAAGUACCAUUUUUGUACUUCGCUAAAAAUGAUUAUCAAAAUUAAUUUUUCUUUUACUGAAUUUACUGUUUUGAGAAGUAAAAAUCCUGAACUUCUCACCAAAAACCAGACUGGUGGGUGCAUAAGUUGGGGAAGACGAUGUUUCUUUUUAUGUUAUAGAAAGCAUUCCUCAAGGAUAAUGAAAUGCACAUGUUUCUAAAGCUAUUUUGUACACAGCAUUUCCGAUUUUCGAACACUAAAGCCAUUUUCAAAAGCUUAGCUAGCUAAUGAAAUGCGCAUAUUUAAAUUAUUUGGCUGUUAUGUGGUAAUGCUUAUCGCUUAUUUCAUCAUAGGAGUGGAAAUUAUGGAAGAGGAGCAUGACAGUUUAUUGGUUGAAUUUGAGAAUGAGAAUGUCAUGAGCACUGCCAAUGUAGUUGAAAAUGAUAAGAUUGGAGAAGAAGCUGUACCAGAUGUUUAGGCAUCUGAGCAACAGUUGCAAUGAUCAGCUUGCAGAUUUCACUUUUGCGCAGUACCUACUUGAGAAGGUGAAUAUUUCUAGAUUAAUGAUUUUGAUUUAAUUCUGAGCUGUUUAGCUG